UGAACGCUGGCGGCGUGCCUAAUACAUGCAAGUCGAGCGAACGGACGAGAAGCUUGCUUCUCUGAUGUUAGCGGCGGACGGGUGAGUAACACGUGGAUAACCUACCUAUAAGACUGGGAUAACUUCGGGAAACCGGAGCUAAUACCGGAUAAUAUUUUGAACCGCAUGGUUCAAAAGUGAAAGACGGUCUUGCUGUCACUUAUAGAUGGAUCCGCGCUGCAUUAGCUAGUUGGUAAGGUAACGGCUUACCAAGGCAACGAUGCAUAGCCGACCUGAGGGGGUGAUCGGCCACACUGGAACUGAGACACGGUCCAGACUCCUACGGGAGGCAGCAGUAGGGAAUCUUCCGCAAUGGGCGAAAGCCUGACGGAGCAACGCCGCGUGAGUGAUGAAGGUCUUCGGAUCGUAAAACUCUGUUAUUAGGGAAGAACAUAUGUGUAAGUAACUGUGCACAUCUUGACGGUACCUAAUCAGAAAGCCACGGCUAACUACGUG
rnacentral:rRNA from 1 species